UUAUUUAUCCGUAUUCUACUGCUGAAUAAGACGACAUAUUCUCCGCUCAGUAUGUGCACCUUGUCAAGGUCUCUUGGUGUGAAGAUUUUUGGGGCCCUCGUGACGUACCUUGUUGUAAUACUAUCUCUGUGAAACUGUAGCUCCUGCACUAGUGUUGAAGAACAAAAUAUCUUUCCUGUCAACACAACAAAAAAAAAACUUACUCAGUUCUGCUUAUUACAAGUUUUGAAGACUGUUCACUUAUCACAUCACGUUUGAAUUGUAACACUCACAUCUCUUUAAUAAUAAAUGAUUUUGUGUGACA